rnacentral:rRNA from 1 species
GACGAACGCUGGCGGCGUGCUUAACCCAUUCAAGUCGAACGGAAAGGCCCUGCUUUUGUGGGGUGCUCGAGUGGCGAACGGGUGAGUAACACGUGAGUAACCUUCCCUUGACUUUGGGAUAACUUCAGGAAACUGGGGCUAAUACCCGAUAGGAGCUCCUGCUUCAUGGUGGGGGUUUGAAAGUUUCGGCGGUUGGGGAUGGACUCGCGGCUUAUCAGCUUGUUGGUGGGGUAGUGGCUUACCAAGGCUUUGACGGGUAGCCGGCCUGAGAGGGUGACCGGCCACAUUGGGACUGAGAUACGGCCCAGACUCCUACGGGAGGCAGCAGUGGGGAAUAUUGCACAAUGGGCGGAAGCCUGAUGCAGCAACGCCGCGUGCGGGAUGACGGCCUUCGGGUUGUAAACCGCUUUCGCCUGUGACGAAGCGUGAGUGACGGUAAUGGGUAAAGAAGCACCGGCUAACUACGUG